GGAUCUUUAGCUUAGUUGGUUAAAGCUGCCGGCUCAUAACCGGUUGAUCGUAGGUUCAAAUCCUACAAGAUCCACCA
rnacentral:tRNA from 1 species